rnacentral:lncRNA from 1 species
GGUAGAGUGCUUGAAAAGGAGUAACAUAAGAUCAAUUACUAGGAGCUAGUAAGUUGUAAAGGGCUUUAAUAACAGGAGUUUGUGUUUGAUUUGUGAAACAAUAAAGAACUUAGCAGAAUCAGAGCUGCACUUCAGGAAUAUUGACUUAGUAGCAAUGAGGAACAUAUAUAGAAGAGGAAGAGAGACUAAUAAGGAAGCUGUUGCAAUAGUCUAGAAGAGAGAUGGCAAGGGCUUCCCAGAGAAGAGGAAGCUGCACAUCCAUGGAAUCUGCCCAAUACACUCAGUGGGAGACCUCUGAGGAAUUUGAGAUGGUUGAUGCCAAGCGCAAAUGGCGACCCUGGGAAGCUGGGUGGUGGGCAAAGCAGCUUCCUGGGGGCCAUCCUGCCCUUCCCCUUUACCUGCUGUUUUCUGUGACCUCUUUUCUGUGGAUAAUUCUUCUUAGUAUGCUGUUGGCCAAGGUCAUGGACUUAUCAAAGGAAGUGAAGCACCUGGAGGGAAUACAAGUCAAUGGGUCAAUGAAUUCAGGCAGGCUGGAAGUUCUUCAGGUAUCCUUGAGCACCUUGGACAACAAGUACCAGACUCUAAAAACAAAGGCUGAAACAAUGGCUAAGGAAUUGAGGAACCUGCAAGAGAGUCAAGCCAGCCUGAGUACCAACUGUAUGUUCAGACCUCAAGACCUAAUGUACACCCUCCAACCUUGUUACACCCGCAAUUCCCUCUCCUCCCACUCUCUCAUUCCCCACCUGGACCUAACCUUUCCCCAUAGGUUGUCCCAGACUCCUACUCCUGUUGGCCUGACUCUUAUCCUUCUUAAUGGGCUCUUUCUGACCUUUUCCCUCACAUUGAUUUUAAUCAUUUCCUUUGGAUAG